UGUAUAGGUUCGUUGGUGAGCCCGUAAAACCAACAAAGGUUUUUGGUGAACCCGGAAAACCAAAGUGUAUAGGUUCAUUGGUGAGCCCGUAAAACCAACAAAGGUUUUUGGAUUGUGAGCCCGGAAAACAAUCCAACUGUAAUCCGCGGGAUUAUAGUGAAUUCCCAAGGGGACGCUUAGAGAGUGGACGUAGGUGCUAAGGAGAGCACCGAACCACUAUAUAUUGUUGUGUUUGUGUUGUACUUGUGCUUACGUUUAUUCUUGCAUCAUCUUCUAUCUUUGCACUAGUUUAAAUAGUUUAAGGAAGCAUCCACCGCACUUAAUUAAGAAAACGUUUAAAGCACCAAAAUUUAGAAGAAACCAAUUCACCCCCCCCUCUUGGCUUGUCACCUUGGGCAACAAGUGGUAUCAGAGCGAGGUGCUCUAAUAGUACUCAUUGAUCUCACAAUCAAGAGUUAAGGAUCAUGACAACCCAAGUGGGAUGUUCUAUGAGUGAGGGACAAUUAAUUGAUAGACCUCACUAUUUGAUGGUAUAAACUACACAUAUUGGAAAGCAC
rnacentral:lncRNA from 1 species